CGGAAAAAUCAUUCAAACCAAGUUGCUCGCCUUGUAGGGAGUUUUUCGAAUAAUUUCUGAUUUUAUUGGUGCCUAAAAUAGAGGAAAGGAGACUGGAAAUGGAGUGGCUGUUGACAUUCAUUGUUGGUUGUAUUGUGGGUUACUUGAUUGCCAAAAAUACAUAGUCGAUAGCUGUCCGGCCCAGUGGCAACACAAAAUUGUAAUUUUGAAAUUAUAUUAGGUGUGGAAUAGGAUUUGGGAACCAAACAAUAAAAUGCAGCGUUUUCUGACCUUCAUUGUGGGUGGAAUCGUGGGCUACCUCAUAGCCAAGAAUACUCGCUAAGCCAGCAUGACCCAUCUGAUCUGCUUUGGUCUGGGAGUGUGGGUCGGCAUGCUUAUGUGCCGACGCUGCGCCCCCUGAAGUAUUUUCAAAUCGAAUGCCAAACAAAAUUGAAGCUAUUUGAACGUUUAUGAAAUCACAAAUUAAAUAAAAUAAAAAUAACUAUGCAAUAUAAAA